UCCGCAGCCUCUGUCUCUGGGCACGCACCAGACAACACCCCUGAGAACGCUCCUCUCCAAACACGGGACAAUGAGGCUUUGGUUGUAUCUCGUUCUCAUUGCAGCAGCGUUUGAAGGUGUCCGGUCCCAGGUGCAGCUGGUGGAGUCCGGAGGGGAUGUGAAAAAGCCCGGAGACUCUCUCCGCCUCUCCUGCAAAGCCUCCGGCUUCACCUUCAGCAGCUACUACAUGGGCUGGGUCCGCCAGGCUCCGGGGAAGGGACUGGAGUGGCUCGCCUUGAUUCACGGCUCUAGCAUAUACUACAGUGACUCCAUAAAAGGGCGAUUCACCGUCUCCAGAGAUGACCCCAACAGCCUGUUGUACCUGCAAAUGACCGGCCUGAAGCCCGAGGACACCGCCCGGUAUUACUGUGCGAGAGACACAGUGAGGGAAUCCCGAUACUGCUAAUACAAAAACUCAAGAUGCAGAAUCUUCUUUCUCCCAUGCGCCGCACGGGGGCAGCACUUCCCCGAAGAAUCCAGCCCUGGGCACAGGAACGGGAUCUACAACCAGAGCGAAAAAUCAUCUCUCGUCAGAACACAGGGACUUGAAGAUGGACCUCCCUUGAUCUCAGAAGAAUACUCUGAACACCGGGGCUAUUGCUCUCUCAUCACAAAGACUCUGCAAGGAUUCUGUACCAAGUGGAACAACUUCAAAUGCAGCUCUGUGGAGAUGAGUCCCUGGAAAACCUUCUAGCCCGGUUCCUGGGCACUCUCCUGAGAGGUACAAGAUCUACCUUGAAGUCCAGUGUCUGGCUCAGGCAGAGUGGGGCGGAGUCAGGGUGCUUAAUUCGAGGCUGUAAUUUCCACUGAGAGCCAGGCACCUAUAGGCAGGUGUUAUAGCAAUGACCCUUAGACCCUUAUAUGACGCGUUCCCCCAGGACUCCCAAGCUUAUUGAUCCAGACAGUGCCCCCAGUGGGGCGGGUCUGGUGUUUAAACGUUGUCUGAGUCUCUUCCCAUAUUUCCACAGGCGUUCAAACCUCAAGCGUCCCAACCAGCCAACUCAGAGUGUGGCUAUAAGACAGAGCUUGGUUUACAUCCUAGGUCCCUGGCUGUGUGUGUCCUCCGCUCUCAGGCUGCUGAUUUGCAGAUGCUCCAGGCUGUUGGCCUUGUCUCUGGAGAUAGUGAAUCGCCCUUUCACGGAAUCAGCCUAGUACUA